rnacentral:rRNA from 1 species
UACGUAGGGUGCGAGCGUUGUACGGAAUUAUUGGGCGUAAAGAGCUUGUAGGCGGUUUGUCGCGUCUGCUGUGAAGAUCCGAGGCUCAACCUCGGACUUGCAGUGGGUACGGGCAGACUAGAGUGUGGUAGGGGAGACUGGAAUUCCUGGUGUAGCGGUGAAAUGCGCAGAUAUCAGGAGGAACACCGAUGGCGAAGGCAGGUCUCUGGGCCACUACUGACGCUGAGAAGCGAAAGCAUGGGUAGCGAACAGGA